UAACCAGUGUCAACAGUUCAGGUGUUACCUUU
rnacentral:piRNA from 1 species